rnacentral:rRNA from 1 species
GACGAACGCUGGCGGCGUGCUUAACACAUGCAAGUCGAACGGAAAGGCCCUGCUUUUGUGGGGUGCUCGAGUGGCGAACGGGUGAGUAACACGUGAGUAACCUGCCCUUGACUUUGGGAUAACUUCAGGAAACUGGGGCUAAUACCGGAUAGGAGCUCCUGCUGCAUGGUGGGGGUUGGAAAGUUUCGGCGGUUGGGGAUGGACUCGCGGCUUAUCAGCUUGUUGGUGGGGUAGUGGCUUACCAAGGCGUUGACGGGUAGCCGAACUGAGAGGGUGACCGGCGACAUUGGGACUGAGACACGGCCCAAACGCGUACGGGAGGCAGCGGGAGGGAAGCUUGGGCAAUGGAGGAAAGUCGGACCGCGCAGCGCCGAGUGAGUGAAGAAGGUUCUCGGAUCGUAAAACGCGGUUGGUAGAGAAGAACGUGGGUGAGCGUGGAAAGCUCAUCAAGUGACGGUAACUACCCAGAAAGGGACGGCUAACUACGUG